GCCGGCGUAGCUCAGUGGCAGAGCAGCUGAUUCGUAAUCAGCAGGUCAAGGGUUCGACUCCCUUUGCCGGCUCCA
rnacentral:tRNA from 1 species